UACAGAGGGUGCGAGCGUUAAUCGGAAUUACUGGGCGUAAAGCGUGCGUAGACGGCUAUCUAAGUCGGGUGUGAAAACUCUGGGCUCAACCCAGAGACGCCACCCGAUACUGCUGUGACUUGAGUACGGUAGGGGAGUGGGGAAUUCCUGGUGUAGCGGUGAAAUGCGCAGAUAUCAGGAGGAACACCAGUGGCGAAGGCGCCACUCUGGGCCGUAACUGACGCUGAGGAGCGAAAGCGUGGGUAGCAAACAGG
rnacentral:rRNA from 1 species